rnacentral:rRNA from 1 species
UACGUAGGGUGCAAGCGUUGUCCGGAAUUAUUGGGCGUAAGAGCUCGUAGGCGGUCUGUCACGUCGGCUGUGAAAACCCGGGGCUCAACCCCGGGCCUGCAGUCGAUACGGGCAGACUAGAGUGCGGUAGGGGAGACUGGAAUUCCUGGUGUAGCGGUGAAAUGCGCAGAUAUCAGGAGGAACACCGGUGGCGAAGGCGGGUCUCUGGGCCGUAACUGACGCUGAGGAGCGAAAGCGUGGGGAGCGAACAGG